rnacentral:lncRNA from 1 species
CAUAAAGUUAAUCGCCAAUGAACCAAGGAGAUGAGAAUAACAUUCCAUAAGACUAUAGUGGAACAACACGGUUUAAGGACAGCCAUUGAGUAGUGCUUCAUUUGUAUUGUUUUCAGCAAACCAAGCCUAUCCAACAAGCUCUGCAAAAGCCACCUCAAAUGGGCGAAGAAAAGGAGAAAAAAAAAGGUUAGCAUGUAUAAUACUCUAAUUUGUUAGCUACCUAUCCUAUCUUGUGCAUAUAAACUAAUUUUACUCAAAUUAUGCUUAUUCCAGCAUCUAAGAUAUGCACUAUUAUUGUUGGUGCCUGCAAAAUUUUGUAUGGAUAUGCAUUUUGCUGCAAUUCGAAGAGAAAAAGAAUAUACUGGUAUUCUACAGCCAAUAGUCCAUGUACACAUUCAAGUCUAUGAAUAUAUUAAUAUUGUUUCACAAGCCUUGAAGUAGUCUUAGCACAACAUCAGACAUAGUCAGUCUUCAUCUAUCAAGAAGUAGACAGCAACCUAUUUACCAACACACAACGACGGAAUUAGUGCUACCAUAACUUGUAAAUAGUUGGGCGAACAUGAGUGCUACAUACUUCAGGGGAUUAACAAUGUUGCAGUCCUUUAACUAUUGAUGAAUCUCCAAAUCAGAAGUCCUGGACAACUUCUGUAGCCAAAUUUUGAUUAUUUCUUUAAUUCGCAUUCGCCGACUCAAACAUAAAACAUAAGCAAUAUUGUGACUUGACAGCUUUUGCUUCUUACUCAAGAUAUUGAAAUAAACUAGAAAGCCAACUCAAAUAGAAGGGCCGACACAAAAGAAUACUACAUUAUAAUAACCCCCUCUUUCUUUGUAUUUAGAGCCAAAAACCCCCUUUAUUGGUGAAAAGAAAGAAGAGCAAAGAUUGCAUGAUGAUAAAAGAGGCCAAAGCAGCAAUUGGUAUGCUUCAUUGAGUGAUGAACAACGGAAGCAGUACAACAAAAGAUGCGCUCAAACAAAUAAGGCACGAAAAGCUACCUCUAUGAAUCCAGCAACAAUAUCCAAAUCACAAGGUUGUCAACUUUUCUCUACAACUAUUGUUUGAUGGAAAAUUAUGCGGCCAAUUAUAUAGUAUAAGUAUUAACUUCUCCUCUUUAUUUUUCCCCAAAAAAAUUCUGAUGCACAAAAUGGUGAACCAAAUAUUA